GAGCAAAGGUGUCUCUCAAAAAUGACACUCAUUUGCAUUGAAGGUUGGCUAUAUACAUAGCAAUUCUCCGUGCCUUUCAAGCUUUUUUCUUGUAUUGAUUAUGGCCUCGAACAAAUUGCUAUAUC
rfam:Solanum lycopersicum cultivar Heinz 1706 chromosome 12, whole genome shotgun sequence.